CCUACGGGGGACUGCAGUGAGGAAUAUUGGUCAAUGGUCGGGAGACUGAACCAGCCAAGCCGCGUGAGGGAUGAAGGUACAGAGUAUCGUAAACCUCUUUUGUCAGGGAACAAAGGCGGGGACGUGUCCCCGGAUGAGUGUACCUGAAGAAAAAGCAUCGGCUAACUCCGUGCCAGCAGCCGCGGUAAUACGGAGGAUGCGAGCGUUAUCCGGAUUUAUUGGGUUUAAAGGGGGCGCAGGCGGUCUGUUAAGUCAGCGGUAAAAGCCCGGGGCUCAACCCCGGCCCGCCGUUGAAACUGGCAGUCUCGAGUUGGAGAGAAGUAUGCGGAAUGCGCGGUGUAGCGGUGAAAUGCAUAGAUAUCGCGCAGAACUCCGAUUGCGAAGGCAGCAUGCCGGCUCCACACUGACGCUGAGGCACGAAAGCGUGGGUAUCGAACAGGAUUAGAUACCCUAGUAGUC
rnacentral:rRNA from 1 species